rnacentral:sRNA from 1 species
AUGCACAAUUCUAACACUGCGGUUCCUGCGCGCCAUCCGCACUCGCGUGGCGACUGCCCGCUGCGCCUUGCUGGCC